CAUUGCCGAUUGCUUUGGGCCAACGAGCUGGAGAUGCUAAUUGACUGGAUAUGAGCAGAAGGUUUCUUCAACAAGGAGGUAAAUCAUUCAGCAAAGGAACCAAAGAUCCGAAAAAACCAGUUGCUAGCAAAUGUGGCCGCGGGCGAUAUCAACCAUGCAUCCCUGGUCCAAAUGGGAUCUCUCCACGUGCAUGCAACCAGUAUAAUCGAUGCGGUAGAAAUACCGGCUCCAACUAGUACUCAAUCAGAUCAUUCCCGACUCAUCUCCGCCGAAUGAGAGAGAGAGAGAGAGAGAGAGAAAAUCAUUUAGUAGUCAGGAACUCAAGAAACUCCUGGCCAAGUACCCUUGUUUGUUGUUUAUGUUGUCUAAUAAAUUACUUUUUAAGUUUGAAAUUAUCAAUGUGUAAGUACGUAUUGCUUUUGAUUGAGUAAUGAUAUAUGAAUUACGUUUGUAAUUAGCGCGUAAAUGUAUUUGUUGAAAAAUAGAGUAAAAAAAUUAUCAAUCUUA
rnacentral:lncRNA from 1 species